GGUCCGGCUGCUGACGUCGGAGCGCCAGCUCCUGUCAAUGAACGGCAGCGGCAGCCUGGGGACUGGCUGGCAACGAGGCUACAGACGUCAUCGCCUCCUGUUGGACGCGGGGGGGGGUGUCCGAGCCGCAGCUCCGGCUUAAAGGAAAACUCUCCAAGUUCCAGGCAGCCGGGGAGCGCCGUUCCCGACAAGUACAUGCUCCCACAGCCCGGUGCGCGCGGGCACACGGGCGGGCACACUCGCGCACUCGCACACACGCACACUCAGACACGCACGCACCCUCGCACCCGUGUUCCCUGUAGGUGUGCGGUCCAAAGUUGCGGCCGCAAGGAGGGUGAGUUGAGAUGGACCGGUCUUCCUUGGCGCCUGGAGCGCGCUCGACGAGGCUUUCCUGGAGACCCCCAGAAGGACAAGAGGGCAAGAGGAAAGACCCCCUCCGCUUAGAGUUGUCUCCCCGCUUUCCGAGAUGACCAGCGCGAAAUGUGGACUGCCCCAAGCCUUUGGGACGUGCCUGCGGAGCGGAGCCGGAGCGAGUGUUCUUGGAGAGGUCGUGAACUCAGGCCACCUGGGCUCACGGUCAACUUGUUCUGCGCAGUUCUCAAUGGAGCCCCGGACCCACCGGCUCCUGGCUCGCCUGCUUCCCACCCCCUCUUUUUUGCUGCUCCUCUCUCUUUUAAAUGUGUGAAGUUGAAGUGGAAAGCAGAUAGGUGCUUCGUAUACUUUGGCGGCCCAUCG
rnacentral:lncRNA from 1 species